GCUGAUUAUAGUUUAAUACUUUCAUAUUUAGUGUAUUUGAAAAAAAAUUGGUUUUUCUAUUUUAUAUGUUCAUCGUUAUUUAUUUCCUAAAGCUAAGUGUUCAAUUUAAUUUUCAUUAUUGAUAUUGGGUGUGCAUUCAAUUGGAUGCGGUAUUUUCAUAAUCGUUAAUAUGUCACUUUUUAAAAUUACUACUCUGAAAUGUUGCAUAACCAAAUUAUUGAGGGGUUCAGUUUUCAGUUUCAAUAAGAUGUUACAUUCCAAACAGUUAUUACAAUUUUCUUCAAUCUUGUUCAUAGUUAUCUAACAAUUCUUAAAUUCAAUAUUACAAAUAUUGAUAACAGGUAUAUUUUUUGUAAGUAUAAGUAUUUAUUUAUAAAAUAAAAGUUAUUUUUAGCGAAAGUAAAAAAAGUUACCCAUUGCUAACACCUAAGAUACUUCAGUUUAUUUAAAUUAACCCAAUGUAUGCCCAAUCAAUGACCAAACUAGGUACUGUAGAUAGGUAGUUGAAAAACAAAUUAUUUUUCUUAUGCUAUAUAGAAAUAUCAGUCUUUCAGUUGCACAAAAGAAGUAUACAAUUACACGUGUCUGCAAGCCACAGAGAGAAUGCCGGGAAUAUAUAUACCUAUCUUAAUGCUCUAUACUCCAAUGGAUCACUUUCACAUUAAUCAACUUUUGGGCAUGGCUGAGAACUGACACUUUACCCUCACAUAGUCACAUUUCAGGCACAAUAAAAUUUGUAAAAACCAGUAUAACGUGUAUAUUGGGAUGGGAUUCAAUUUUACGGUAUGUCAGAAACAAGUUGACCUGUGUUUACAAUUUGAUAAGAAUAAACCCUAUUGCUACCUGUAUAUUCCAUAUGGUUCUUAAUACUUUACUUAUCAUUAAACAUUUGAAGAAAAUCUUCAUGAUGCAUUCAUUGUUUAAAGUCUUUACAGAUGCUUGCCCUACCAUUUUGUCAGAGAGAAUUUGGAGAGUUCCUUCAGUGGUAGACUGUCCUUCAUUCUCUUUUGGCUUGAAACAAUAACUCCUGAGAGAUUCACAGUAAUAUGAUUGAAGUAUAAGAACUAACAGUUAUUUAAAAAGUUUCCAUGAUGUGUUAUUGAAAAUUGCAACACCUCAUCCAAAAAUAUGGGAGUUUAUUGACCAGUUGAGAUAUUUGGAAAAUACAAGUGAAGUGGAAUUCAAAUAGACACGAGGAAUCUGAGAGUAAGUUUCAACACAAUAUAAAAAUUAAAAUUGAAUAUUCUUUAAUUUCAAUUUUUUUUUUUUUUAAUGAAAUAUAUAUAUUUGGUUGGACGUAAAAGGCACAACAUAAGAUCACUGAACACUAAACAAAUUUGACAGUUCAUCAAUGACUUUAUAGUUGAUUAUUCUGAAAAAUGUGUAAUAACAUUUCUACUUAAAUAGAGGCCAUGGGAUGGAUGGAUCAUAGCACAGCAAAUUGAUCCUUAUCAAGAUAAUUCAAAAUUUUAAUCAGAGAUAAGCUCUUAAAUUUUUUAAUUAUUGUAUGUCUUUUAAAGGAACCAUGCCUCCCACAAAAUAUUUUACAAUAAAAAUAAUGACCUAAUUGAACCGGAAGAUUAAUUAAAUCGUGAGUUUUUUGAUGAGUGUUUGUUCAUCAUGGUUAGUUUAAUCAUGCUUAAAAUUUUAAAGAAACUUAAUUCGGGCCGCCGUGCCAUACAAUAUGUGUAAUGUAUAAGGUAUACAAUUUGCACGUUUAUUUUAAUUAAUAACUAAUUUUUCGCUCAAAUUUCUUUAUUUUUUAGUAGAAUUUGGUAUUUUAAAAAAUGUUUUGCCAUUGGUUAAUCGGGCAGAUCAGGUUUAUGAAUGCAUCAAUUCGAAUUUUAGUACAUUGCCUAACAAGGUGGCUGUCGGCUGAGUUAAACGUAUAGCCGCUCAUCGGAAUGUACACAAUCAAACUAAUUAAUAAAAUUAAAAUUAAACAUAUUCCUAUAGAGUGCGCACCUAGCGGGGUCCGCAAUCCACCGCAGGUAGAAAGCCUACCUCAUAAAUCAUAAUAUACUGUUCACAUUAUCACAAACGAGUCUCAUAUAGAGCUGGCAUUUUUAAAGGGCAACGGAAUGCAAGGGAUCAGCUAGAAUAUAAAUAAUAAUGAUAAUAGAUAUUUAUUUUGACACGAUACUACGGCAGUUAAUUUGUCUACUGACGAUCGUACGUAGCAUCGGCUGCAACCGCUAUACUUAUGACGUAGGAAUACUUGUCGAAAUUAUAAACUGCAAACCAAUAUUACAUUUUUAUUAAGUUAAGAAAUAUAUGGAAAACACCGAAUAGCUCAAUUAUACAAAUUGCGUUAUUUUAUUUUUGAAAGGAUUUUUCAAAAUUAGACCUCUAAGGGGGUAAAAAGGGAGAUUUUUAUAUAGCUAUAUAAUACACGAGCAACGCCGUGACGGGACACCUAGUAAUGUAUAAAUUAAAUGUUUACUAUAUUCAUAAUAUAUUAUUCUAUGACGGCGCAAUAGAUAGGCAAUUUAGGGCCAUGCUAAACUUUAAAAUGUUUAAUAAUAUAAUAAUUAGAUUCCGAACAAAAAAAAAUGUCGAAAAAAAAGAAUGUCACAUUUGCGUAUAUUUUGUUGAUAUUCACGUUCAUAAUUUCACAUUUAGCGAUAUUAUUUUUGAUAUUGUAGUGAAUUAAACUAUUAUUGCCCUUAAGGUACGUUAGGUAUAAUACUUGAAUUGUUUUGUUUAUUUUGUUUUUCAAUAAAAAAAUAUUUAAUAAAAUGCGUUAAUUUUAAUGCAUAUACCAAAUUGUUUAAGCCGUUUGUGUGCUGUAUACAUAUUUAUCGUACAUGACAUCGAUUCUGUGUAGUAAUACAUUAUAUAAUUUGUCAUAAAGUUGAGUCUUGAUAACUUGAAUUUAUUUCUUGCCCUUUGAAGUGUUUUUAAGUUGUGUUUGAGGUAUAUGCUUAGGUUAAUCGAAUAACACAAAAGUUGAAUUUACUUAUAUUCUUCUUUGUGUUAUAUCAAGACUGUAUUUAUAGUUUAAUAGAUGUAAUUAGAUACCUAAGCUCAAUGUAUAUAUUUAUGAUUUUUGAUUUUUAUCCGAGGCAACUCAAAGUAUAUAUAUUAUUAUUUUCUAUAGCAAUAUUGACCGAACCGUUAUCCGGAUUAUAUAAUUACGUAAUUAUUCAUAUAAAUAUAUGAUCCACAUUUUCUAUGAAAUCCGUUGUAUCAGGAUUAUGGAAAGGAAAUCAUUAUUAAUUCAAAUUUUGGAUGUAAUUCAUUAAUUUGUCUAAAUUGGACUAGAUUUAAAAAGUAAAAACUAGAUACUGAACAUAUAAACUAUAAAGUUUUGUUAAGGAACUGAGUAGUAGAUGAUAGCUCUGUCAACAAGUGUAUAUUCAAAAUUUAACAUUUAUAAAUAUUAUAUAAUAUUUAUAUUAUUUUUGUGCGAGGGUAAUGACUAACUAACAUAGAA